rnacentral:rRNA from 1 species
GAUGAACGCUGGCGGCGUGCCUAAUACAUGCAAGUCGAGCGAACAGACGAGGAGCUUGCUCCUCUGACGUUAGCGGCGGACGGGUGAGUAACACGUGGAUAACCUACCUAUAAGACUGGGAUAACUUCGGGAAACCGGAGCUAAUACCGGAUAAUAUAUUGAACCGCAUGGUUCAAUAGUGAAAGACGGUUUUGCUUUCACUUAUAGAUGGAUCCGCGCCGCAUUAGCUAGUUGGUAAGGUAACGGCUUACCAAGGCAACGAUGCGUAGCCGACCUGAGAGGGUGAUCGGCCACACUGGAACUGAGACACGGUCCAGACUCCUACGGGGGGCAGCAGUAGGGAAUCCUCCGCAAUGGGCGAAAGCCUGACGGAGCAACGCCGCGUGAGUGAUGAAGGUCUUCGGAUCGUAAAACUCUGUUAUUAGGGAAGAACAAAUGUGUAAGUAACUAUGCACGUAUUGACGGUACCUAAUCAGAAAGCCACGGCUAACUACGUG